rnacentral:lncRNA from 1 species
UAAGUAAAUAACAUGUGUAGAGUUAAUAUGGUAUCGGAAAUAUAAAGAAUUUGAUAUUUUGAUUUUUUAAUCCUUGAAUUAAAAAUUGUACGAUUGGAAUGAUUGCGAUCCCCCCUAAGCUUGAGUAUUCUAUAGUGUCACCUAAAUAGCUUGGNGAUGCCUACUAAAAAUUAUUUCUUAUUACAUUAGAAAAGAUAACUGUAUUUAUUUUAUAACUAAUUUUCAAAAUUGAAUUUCAAAAUAACUACCCGCAGCAUGAUUUCUCUUCUCAUUCACUAACUACUGGGGGACUACGAUACCUACUAAAAUAAUUUCACUAACUAAUGGAGGACUACUAUGCCUACUAAAAUUUUUUGAUGUACUUAUUACACCAUCUAAUUCUGAAAUUAAUUUUUAUAACUAAUUUUCAAAAUUAAAUUUUAAAAUAACUACCCGCAGUAUCGCGCGGGUCCCUUAACUAGUUAUUUCAUUAUGUAGCAGAUUAAAAUGUUAUUUUAUGUGAGGGUAUUUUUAUAAUUAAAUUAGGCAAAAUUUUAAGAAAAUUUUAAUUAAU